GCACCUAUGAUAUAUAACAAUUUUCGACAUAUUAUGCUGUAAACCUGAAUGCCUGAUUUUUUUUUCAACAGUAUGUGCCAUUCAAGAUCGGUUUCUUUCAAUAACGAAUGAAAUUUAAUUCCAAUUUAUAAUAAUCGUAUGAUCUAUUACAGUCUGAAGACGUAGUUCUAGAAUUCCAUCAAAAAUUUUCUGUACUUUAUAGUAUUCAAAAUAUGAUUGUACCAUUAUCUAUUUUGAAAUGGCUGUUUUUUUUCAAUUUCAGUCGGUAAGUUGCAACGAGUAUAACGAAUAACUUUGUAGCAAUUGUGCUUUUUAGAAAUUAGUUAGAAAAUAAGUGUACAACUACCUCAGAAAGAGUUGACCUGAGAUGGAUACAUAAAGAUAAAUGUACAAUAAUACUUAACUUGGGUUAAACACACUUCCCUUCAUUAUGUAUAACCCAAUUACGAUUCAAAUAACACAAUGUUGUAUGAUUUCCAAUGAAUAAUGUACACAAUAAAAAAUACAAAUAUUAAAAACACAAAUAAAAUACCCUGGAUAUAUACAAAUAUGCAUGCCUGAUAGGUUCGAUACGUACUUAAAUUAUUACUUUUAUCAGAAGUCCGAACGUUUUUUUAACAUGAUAUAACAUAUUAUCAUUUUAGCUGUUCCUGUGGAGGGACUUUCGGCAAUAUCGAUUAACAGGAACAAGACAUGCAGUAUCACAAGAUGAUCGAAACAGAUAAUAUAAAAACGUUUCCUUCUAUAAAAUGAACAAUUUAAAACAACGUGUGAAUCUUAUAGUGUUUGUUUUCAAUUGUCUGAAUCAAACGUUGCUUGUUUGAAUUGGUGUUAUUGUAUAUUGAAAUAUGUUACUUCUUAUUAAAUCCUAACAGAAACUU